UUCUGAACGAGAUAAUUGUUGUU
rnacentral:snRNA from 1 species